rnacentral:rRNA from 1 species
CACCUUUCAGAAUGAAUCUUUCGGGCUUC